rnacentral:rRNA from 1 species
UACGGAGGGUGCAAGCGUUAAUCGGAAUUACUGGGCGUAAAGCGCGCGUAGGCGGCUUGGCAAGUAGACUGUGAAAGCCCUAGGCUUAACCUAGGAAUGGCAGUCUAAACUGCUCGGCUAGAGAUCAAUAGAGGGGGGUAGAAUUCCUGGUGUAGCGGUGAAAUGCGUAGAUAUCAGGAGGAAUACCAGUGGCGAAGGCGGCCCCCUGGAUUGCAUCUGACGCUGAGGUGCGAAAGCGUGGGUAGCGAACAGG